rnacentral:lncRNA from 1 species
CCUCCCUGCUCUUUCUACCCAAUAAAUACAAAGGGCUGUGGAAGCUCAAUGGGCUGCCUUUGCUCAUUAGAAGCAGGGAGCUCUCUUCUUCUUCCCCUGGAUCCUUCCUUUAAAAUAGUUUCUUUUGUCUUAAGUUUUCAUUUCUACGUUUGUCCCUUCAUUCAGUCUCUUAAAUGACGGUCUCAAGCAGUAACAGUAGUAAUUGCUGUAAUGACGGUCUCAAGUAGUAACCAGGGCACUCUGCCACAAGUGGCACCUGAACAGGGACUAACAGGGACUAUCAAGAACAAACGGAGACCUGAAGAGACCUGAAGGGAACUGAAGAGGUCUGCAGGGACAAAUAGAGAUAAGUAGGGAUAAAUAGAGAUAAAUAGAGACAAAUAGAGAUAGGUAAGGAAUGACAGGGACUUGCAGGAAGUAACAGGGACCAUAGGGACAGAUAGGGAUAGAUAAAGACUAGCAAAGACUAGCCGAGAUUAGCAAAGACCAGCAAGGACUAGCAGAGACUAGCAAAGACUAGCAGAAACUUGCAGGGACAGGCAGAGACAGAUAGGGACAGAUAGGGUCCUACAGGGACUUGAACGAGGAAGAUCUGCUGGAAAAGAAAAGAACUACAACCAACCAGAUGAACAAGAAACCCUGUUACAAGUCUGCUGGCAGCAACAUAAGUAAAUGAUAGCUCCUUACAAAUACAGAGGACAAAAUAAAAGUGACUUAAUUAUAAAAACACAGUGACACAAAGUGAACCGGGUUCUAUAAAUUACCAUGGAAAGUGGUGAGCCAACGAUUUGGCAGAACAAAACCCUGAGGAUAUGCAAACAAAAGGGACUAUGGAAUUUGCAAUUGCAGAUUAAAAUUGAAGAAGAAAACAUUUGAGUUGCAAAUACCGUAUUAAAAGUGGACACUGCUUAUGACUGCUGUAUGCAACAGUUUUUCAGGCCCGAGGUGAUAAAUAAAAAAUUGUUUGCUCUAUUUAA